rnacentral:rRNA from 1 species
AAUCAACGCUGGCGGCGUGCCUAACACAUGCAAGUCGAACGCGAAAGUCCCGCAAGGGAUUAGUAGAGUGGCAAACGGGUGAGUAACACGUGGGUGACCUGCCUUCGAGUGGGGGAUAACGUCCCGAAAGGGACGCUAAUACCGCAUAACAUCCUGCCUUUGAAGAGGUGGAGAUCAAAGCUGGGGACCGCAAGGCCUGGCGCUGGAAGAGGGGCCCGCGUCUGAUUAGCAGUUGGUGAGGUAACGGCUCACCAAGGCAACGAUCAGUAUCCGGCCUGAGAGGGCGGACGGUCACACUGACACUGAAUAACGGGUCAGACUCCUACGGGAGGCAGCAGUCGGGAAUUUUGGGCAAUGGGCGAAAGCCUGACCCA